rnacentral:rRNA from 1 species
UACGGAGGAUCCGAGCGUUAUCCGGAUUUAUUGGGUUUAAAGGGUGCGUAGGCGGCCUAUUAAGUCAGGGGUGAAAGACGGUAGCUUAACUAUCGCAGUGCCUUUGAUACUGAUAGGCUCGAAUAUACUUGAGGUAGGCGGAAUGUGACAAGUAGCGGUGAAAUGCAUAGAUAUGUCACAGAACACCAAUUGCGAAGGCAGCUUACUAAAGUAUGAUUGACGCUGAGGCACGAAAGCGUGGGGAUCAAACAGG